UUCGCAACUGGCAGCGACUGGUCUGGAGUACAGCUGACUUUAAAUAUAGUGCUCAUGGCGCGAAUCCUAGAAGGUCCUGAUAGUGGCGAGUACAUCGCGAGACGACAUCACAGUGGUGUGGUAUAUAUACAAUGAGGCAACGCAUUUCCAGCUCAUGCGCUACCUAACUAUUAAUCUGAAGGCUAAAACAUAUGUCUAACUACUAAAAGAGAUGUUCUUCAGGAUUGUACUUCAAGCCUAAAGCUGAUGGAACUGAGAUGAGUCAAUGACCCCUCUUACAUGAAUGCCAG